GAGCACCUAUUAUGGGAUACACGUUUUUAAACAUCAUUUUGUGUGUAAGUGUGUAUUAGUACAUGCUAACGAUAUUCAAAAAGUACAUACCUCAAAGAAAACGAUGACGCGAGUUAUCGUCUCUAACGUUCGAGGACUACAAAAACACUCGGAUUGUAGGCAACAGUUUACUUCCUGGGAUUAGUGACGUAGAUAAGACCAACAUUAUCAUAGUUCAGCCCUCUCUGCUUUGCUUGGGUACGCCCUCAAAGACGAGGGUGGGGAGCGCCGAGUCAGAAGAGAGCUAAAAUGGCGGAGGUUGGGAGUCCCUGCUGUGACUCUGUUUGCAAACUCUUGUUUCAUUGUUUAAGCGAUUAAAUCUCUCGAGUAGACGCUGUCUCUUUAGAUGCGAGGGCAAAAUAGCACUUUAUGGACUUACACAGAGGACAUCAUGUUUAAUACGGUUCCGGAAAAAUCCAGUCAGAAGUUGUUCACGGAAGUUUCACAAUAACUGCUUCUCAUGAACCGAAGCUGGACGUCUCCUUCUGAAAGUUGGAUUACUGUGCACUUCUGGAUCACAGGCUAUUCGCAGCUGGACACAUCCUUCUACACUGUAUGCAAACAUGCAACAUCAUAACACACAGUACAAGGAGUCAGACUGGCAUAUGAGGAGCAAAGGAACCCAGACAGUAGCAUCGUUUCACAAUGUUUCCAUCACCAUCAUCAGUGGAUGCCUUUGCCGUCCGUAGCCUGAGAUUUCAGAUUUGCAGCAAAAAAAAUUGAUUUUCUCAUUUAUUGGAAUGCUAUGCAGGUUGUACCUUGCAGCCAUCCAUUACAAUGUCACCAAGCCGUAACAAAAGCAGGAGAGGGAAAGUACAAGGCUAUGUUCCCAAAACACAAAUGACAUACCUUAUGUGGAUGAUGUGAUCAGGCUUGUGUUUGCUGAGGUAUUUGAAGAUAAGCUGAAGGAAACCCCGAUUCCAAUGGACCUGGCAUCACAGUUUGAGAGACCUUCAAAGGAGGACGUGAUUGCAUGCCAUCUUCAGUGCAG